rnacentral:rRNA from 1 species
UACGUAGGUGACAAGCGUUGUCCGGAUUUACUGGGCGUAAAGAGCGCGCAGGCGGUCGAUCAAGUCGAGUGUGAAAGCCCCCGGCUCAACUGGGGAGGGUCAUUCGAUACUGAUCGACUCGAAGGCAGGAGAGGGUAGUGGAAUUCCCGGUGUAGAGGUGAAAUUCGUAGAUAUUCGCAAGAACACCAGUGGCGAAGGCGGCUCACUGGCCCGAUACUGACGCUGAGGCACGAAAGCGUGGGGAGCAAGCAGG